UACGAAGGGGGCUAGCGUUGUUCGGAAUCACUGGGCGUAAAGCGUCUGUAGGUGGUCAAAUAAGUCAACUGUUAAAUCUUGAGGCUCAACUCAAAAUCGCAGUCGAAACUAUUAGACUAGAGUAUAGUAGGGGUAAAGGGAAUUUCCAGUGGAGCGGUGAAAUGCGUAGAGAUUGGAAAGAACACCGAUGGCGAAGGCACUUUACUGGGCUAUUACUAACACUCAGAGACGAAAGCUAGGGUAGCAAAUGGG
rnacentral:rRNA from 1 species